CAGCCAUGUCUAUAUCCUCUUCCAGGCUCCUCAUCUUAAACGGAAUAUACUUAAAAAAUAUCGCACUUGUGUAUAGUAGUAAAUUUUGAAAGCUUAAUAAAUAGCCCAUUUUGGGAGUUGACACUACUAUAGUGACUAAAUUUAAAAUGAAAAUUAAUCAACAGAUAGACAAAACUGGCUUGCUAGUAGCUUUAGCGGAACAGCAGACCAACUGAUAUGCAAAUGAGUAACCCGAGAAGAGGCAGAAAGGAAAUUUGCGCCCUCGCACCGCACGCUAAGAGUGCGUCACGAGGAGGGCAAAUACUGUGCACCGCUCUACUUUUAUCCUCCCUUAUUAGCCUGUCUAACUUUCCGUUUGUUAAAGGUAACCACAUUAAUUUCAAAGAAUUUUUUUUUCUUCAGCGGUUCAAGCUGGUAGUUUGUGAAGUGUACUAUUGCGCACGAACCACGGAGAGUUUUUUAAAAGGCUUAUUGCGCUUAAACGAGGAGCUAUUGCCGUUGAGUUGUAGCCCAGGAGGCAGAUGCAUACAAAGCCUUGCUUACUGCUCAAGGAAGAUUCUAGGAUGAAAGCUGUAUCUCACCAGAGAACACCUCGGAACUUCUCUGCCAUUUAAGUCUUUAAAUAGGCACAAAGGACGAUACCAGCUAUCAAGCCCGUGACGUAAAGCUGCAUCGUUGGCGCAAAGAACGACACGCUUGUAAGGGUUGACUGGCAGGGGCAUGUUACUCGUACAGCGUGCGCAUAGCAGCAGUGAUUGAAGAGAGACUUUGCGGAGCCUGUAGACUGCAGCGCCUAUUCUACCGUUAAAGUCCCGGCCGUUCAGGUAAAACGUGGGCAUGUGU